rnacentral:rRNA from 1 species
GACGAACGCUGGCGGCGUGCUUAACACAUGCAAGUCGAACGGAAAGGCCCUGCUUUUGUGGGGUGCUCGAGUGGCGAACGGGUGAGUAAAACGUGAGUAAAAUGCCCUUGAAAUUGGGAUAACUUCAGGAAACUGGGGAUAAUACAGGAUAGGAGCUACUGCAGCAUGGUGGGGGUUGGAAAGUUUCGGCGGUUGGGGAUGGACUAGCGGCUUAUCAGCUUGUUGGUGGGGUAGUGGCUUACCAAGGCUUUGACGGGUAGCCGGCCUUGGAGGGUGACCGGCCACAUUGGGCCUACGAUACGGCCCAGACUCCUACGGGAGGCAGCAGUGGGGAAUAUUGCACAAUGGGCGGAAGCCUGAUGCAGCAACCCCGCGUGCGGGAUGACGGCCUUCUGGUUGUAAACCGCUUUCGCCUGUGACGAAGCGUUAGUGACGGUAAUGGGUAAAGAAGCACCGGCUAACUACGUG